UCGACGCCAAGGGGCCGGAGGAACGAAGACCGGCGGGGGAGACGGCGGCGGACGGGUUUGACGUCGCGCCUCCGCUGUUGAUGUUCUUCGGCACCGAGGACGGGCGCCGCCGCUGGUGCGCUAGGGACCGCGGCGGGGGAGGCGUGUCCUCGUAUGGGAGAUUGGGAGUCGGUUGUGGCGGUUGGGGGCGGUUCAAGAACAGGGGAGCGAAGAGAAAAGGAACAUGACCGUUUGCAUCUCCUAUCUGUCCUUUUAUACAGGUCUCAACCGACUUAACCCCCUGACUAGCUAGCUAGUUAUCCCUGUUCACCAAGUCAGAUUCAGCAUCUAAUCGGUUGUCAAGCAGAGUCCUUCGCUGCGAGCCUGCGAAGGCAGCAUCUUCAGUAGAUCAGGCAACUGCGAGCGAAUAUGUGUACCGUGAAGUCGUGAACAACCUAAUGUAAUGCCAACCAGUAGAUCGUUCCCUAUUUGAAUCGAAGGCCAAAAGCCUCAAAUGAGCAUGAAAUUGUACUAAAAACAUAUAAUACCUCCAAAUAUCUUCAAAUUCCAUGAAAAAUAUGGCAUGAUGUCAGAUUAAGGUAAUCACGGAAACAAAACAGUUUGAUGAAAUACUGGAGAAUCGAUUCCAAGAAAUUGGUGUUCUCGAUCUUCUACAAUUGCAAUUGAUAGGUGGUUUCAUUUCAACUUUUCUUUUGCAGAUUGCCAUUGCACACCUAGCUAAAAUUCAGUCAUUCAGGAUGCAGCCAUCCCAAAAAC
rnacentral:lncRNA from 1 species